AUGAUUCUGGACAUGACCAAGAAGGCCUCUGUGGAAUGCAACUUCUGCCAUGGUGUUUACAUUGGUGGUAUUACUCGAAUGAAGUACCACCUUGCAAAUGUCAAGUAUCAAAAUGUCGUUUUGUGCCAACAAGUUCCAGCUGAUGUGAAGCAAGAGAUGAGGGAGCUGAUCUCAAGGAAAGAUGAAGCAAAGGAAAAGAAGGCCAGGGAAUCAACAAUACACAGAAGUGACGUCAAUUUGGAUGGAAAUGAUGCUAGGGAUGCUGAUGAAGAUGACAUCUUGGGUGGUGGUAGUGGGGGUGGUUUGCUCGUAUUAUCAGGGAAACGACAGAGUAAGGGCAACACAUAUGGUUCUAUGGAUAAGUUUUGCACCAAGUCAACAGAAGAGGUUGUGGCCGCAAGGAAGGGGGAAGACUUUUCUACAAAGUUGCAAACUAAGUUGUCCACUCAAAGAAGGGAAAAGAGGCGGGUUCGUGCUCGUGAGUAUGUUUGUCAGUUCUUCUAUGAAGCCGGAAUUGCCCACAAUGCAGUCUUGCUUCCAAGCUUUGAACUUAUGCUUGAAGCGGUUGGAGCGUUCGGGACAGACAUGAAAGGCCCCACUCCUUAUGAAAUGGGUGGCCCUUACUUACAGAAGAGCAAGAAGAAAGUCGAGGAAGGAUUUGCUGGACAUAAAGAAGCAUGGAAGCUCAGUGGAUGUACUGUCAUGACAGAUGCAUGGACAGACAAAAGAGGAAGGGGAGUGAUGAAUUUGGUAGUUCAUAGUGCCUAUGGUGUUGUUUUUGUUGAUUCUGUGGACUAUUCAGAUGUGAGAAAAGAUGGCAAGAUGAUAUUUGAUCUUGUUGAUAGAUGCAUAGAAGAAAUUGGGGAGAAGAAUGUCGUUCAAAUUGUAAUGGAUAAUGCCUCAGUCAAUAUAGCAGCAGCAGCAAUGAUGAAAGUGAAGCGUCCCUCCCUAUUUUGGAAUGGUUGUGCAGCCCACACAAUUGAUUUGAUGUUGGAGGACAUAGGGAAGCUUCCUAUAAUCGAACAAACCAUUGCCAAAGGAAAGGCUGUGACUGUGUUCCUUUAUGCGCAUACAAGAGUUUUGGCAUUGAUGAGAAAAUUUCUUGGAAAAGACCUAGUCCGCUCUGGUAUUACUAGGUUUGCAACAGCAUAUUUGAACUUGAAGAGCUUGCAGGACAACAAAAAAGAGCUACAAAAGUUGUUCAGGUCCGAUGAACUCAAUGAAAUGGACCACCUAAAAAAGGCAAAGGGGAAGAACGUAGCUAAAAUCGUUCGCUCUGAAACUUUCUGGAAAGCAGUAGAUACCGCUGUCAAUUUCUUUGAGCCAAUGGCAAAUCUUUUGAGGAGGAUGGAUAGCGAUGUUCCGGCAAUGGGUUUUAUUCAUGGUUGUAUGUUGGAUGCAAAGAAAGAGAUCUCCGUGAGGUUUGACAAUGACAAGUCUCGCUUUCUGGAAGUGUGGGACAUCAUUGACAAGAGAUGGGACAACAAGUUGAAGACUGCAUUACAUAUGGCUGGAUACUACUUGAACCCAUACUAUUAUUAUCCAAACAAGCUUGAUAUUGAGAUCGAUGGUAGUUUCAAAGAAGGGCUGAUAACUUGUAUUUCAAAGAUGGUUGAAGAUCCUAUCAUGCAAGAAGAAAUAAUCGAUGAGAUUGACCACUAUCAAGAGGGGAUAUGGUCUUUUGGAAGGGACAUUGCUGUACGGCAAAGGAAAAACAAGAAGUUUGAUCCAGCUAAAUGGUGGAUGAACCAU
rnacentral:rRNA from 1 species